GGCCUGGAGACACCGCAGCACAAACCAGAAGAUGGUUUUAGAUACUUAAACCAGGAAUCUCAUGUAGGGGCAGGUCUGGUCGUAAGGUCCUGUUCCCCAAUUGGUUCUUAAUCUGUCAGUAAAGAAGCCGUGGGCCAAUGGCUGAAAGGAAGAAAUAGGCAGGACUUCCGGGGCCCUGGAGGCAAGCAGACAGAUGAGAGGGAGAGGGGAGUUCACUAUGCUUCUGAUGAAGAAAAGUUGACCAGCCACGUGAGAUCUCUAAACGGAGCGGCCACACAGGCGGCUCCUACAGGUACCCAGGCUGUCUGCGAUUCAAGUACCAAUCUUUCAUCUCUUGGAAAAUGUGUUAGAGGCUCCUACGGGGACAACCACUUUUUUCCAACUAUAUUCAGCAAAGUUAAGAGGUAUAGAAGGUUACAUCAGAUGGAGUAUCAACAUAUGGCAAACAAAGGGGAAAGUUUAGUCAUGUGUGAAACAUGGAAAUUUGUGGUGGGAAAAUCCCACUAUAGAGUGAUGGCUUAGUUUUAGUAUCUGGAGAGGUAGAAUACAUCAUCCCUUUAAAGACUUGCUUGACAUUUUUAAAUGAGAGAGAGAGAGAGAGAGAGAGAGAGAGAAUGAAUGAGAAUGAACACUCUAGAAAAGAGGAAAAGAAGUUCCAUAAACUGUAGACUACAUGAAGAAGGAUAAGGAGAACUUAAUUUUCAACUCUGACCUUCCGGGUACGGACAGUCCAGCUAGUGAAAAAUCCAAGCACCCCCUUAGUAAUACUCUGAGCUCUGUAGGGCAUAUUGGAAUCUAAAUCCAUCCUCAGAUCUUACUAAGCCGAAAGUGAUUCCUCUGCUCCAAAGAAGUAAUUGACUAUGGGUGUUUUCCAAUUCUUGGAACUCAGGAAACCACAACACAUUGCUAAUUAAGAAAUUAAGGACCAUAAAAAUUAAGGACCAAAGUUUUGUUACCAAUAUUAAAAUUGUAGGAAUUUUGUGAUGAAAAGGGGGCAGAUGUACUGAAAAUUAAUUUCAUAGAGUAAUGAAACUUAUUAAAUCUUCAAGAAUAUGUGGAAAUCCAGAUUCAAGAAAUUUAAGUAAACCUAACUAGAUCCAACAAAACAAGACUCUGGUCCAGGCAUACUAAAAAGUACAAAACUACAAAGAAUCCUGACAACAAGAGAAAGGUAUCAAGUCACAUAUUAGGAAAGGCCCAUCAGACAAUGGAUUUCCAAGCAAAAACCUUACGUUUCAGAAGUGAAUGAGCAUCAGUGCUGAAAGAAAAAUAUCGAUGACUAAUAAGUGAAAUUUUCCUUCAAAGCUGAAGGAAAAAAUACUUUAUUGGUAAGCAAAAAGUGAGGGAAUUCAUCUCCACAGAUUAAGCCCUGCAAGAAACACUAGAGGCAUUCUACAAUAUACAUGAAAGGAUGAUAAUUACCAUCAUAAUAUCACAGGAAUGUAUAACAUUCACUUGAAGAGCAGAUAAAUGAAAAUAAAUGAAGAGAAUUAAACCCCCAGCAUGAGAGAAAACAACUAAAUCACAAAAAUAAAUAAUAAAAAGGUAGAAAACCCAAAUAUGCAAAAUAAGAGAAAUUGAAUGAACAAAGUACAAGAAGGAAGUUUGUUGUUAUGAAUAAUAACUUUGCAUGUCAAUGGACUAAAUUAAUCAACCAGUUGAGUGGGUAAGAGUAUAAGACUCAAGUCUUUACUGCCUGUAAGAAACUCUUGAAAGAGAAGGAUUGGAAAGGAAACUCUUGAAAUGAAGGAUUCUGUUUUGCAAAUGGAAACCUAAAAUAAGAAAGAGUAAAGGACACUUUAAGUAAAAUAUGUUGUUUUAACAGAUUCAACAGAUUUUUAAAAAGCUGAAAUUGCAUUGUGUAGUGUCGUGGACCACAGUGGCGUAGAACCAUGUGUAGAACGGAGCACAUACAAAGACAAAACUGAAAAUAACAUGCUCUGAAAUAACCAGUCGGCAAUGGAAGAAAUUAAUGCAGAAAUGGACACGCUUAUAGAAACGAAUUCAGUGACAACACGGUACUCGCCUCCUAAAAGUUCUAUAACCUCUUCCAAACAAAGCCGACAAAUGCGGGCCAAAAGUGUAAAUACCUGAGCCUAUGGGUUACACUUUUCAUUCAAACCAUCACACAAGUCCAAAUAAAUACACAAGUGAGGAAGUAAACACAGAGUGGAGGGAUUCUGGAUCUUCUUUGGUGAGUACAGUGAGGAUGUCUGAAAUACUCAGAGGUAAUCCUAUUAUUACAUUUUACUUAUAUAUACUUAUAUAUAUUGUACACAUAAGUGAUUUAUGCCACUUAGGAUAAUAGCACCUUCCACAAAAUCCCAAUAUCAAGCAUGAGAAACCCUUGUGAGUUAUUAGUUAGGGAAGUCCAAGAGACUCAGAACAAUGUGGGCUAUUUCUGUUGUCCUUUGUUAAGUCCUGAAGUGGAAGGUCGGCUCCUAUUGCUGAAAAUACCAUGCACUUUGGACAUAGGACUUGAAGGAUUUGAGCCGAAACUGAUUCAAAAGCCUUCUUCUCCCUCCUCCCCCUCCUCUUCUUAUCCCUCCUCCCCCUCUUCUUCCUCUCCCUGCUCCCCCUCCUCCUCCCCCUCCUCCUCCGGAACUAGCUUUCAUAUUACCAGAAGGUGCUACUUAAGAUUCUAAGGGAUUGACACAUAGAUUCUAAGGGAACAAUCAAUAGUCCUUCCUGGCUGUGAUGUCUAGGAACUACAGUAGUGAUCAGCAAGUCAAUGUAGCCCUAAAGAUGCACUAAUGGCACCUGUGUCUGGUGGAAAGCAACAGCUGCCUAAUCAGACAUAAGGCCCAUUCAACGGAAGGAAAGUCAUGACUAGUACUGGGCAUCUAGGCAGCCACCUCUGGCUAGAUAUUCUACAACUACAGUUUGCAGCCGACCACACAGUGUAUUGGCCUCCAUAGGGUCUCACAGUGCUCACUGGUGUGUUGAAGGGCAUUGAAGAGGGUGGCUAAAUUAACAAAGUCAGGGUUUUCUUUUUACAAAAUACUAAUUAAUCAUUUUCUUCUUAAAUAUAAUUUCAUAGGAAAAAAACGUAAUACUAUGUAAACCAUUUGUCAUUUUAUCAACUGGAGCGCAAAAUAUAAUAAUAUUCAGGAGUUUGGAAUUCAAAUGUUCUAACAUUCUCUGAUUAGCGUUGACACACAUGAUGUAUAGGAUAGAAACAUAGUAGGAUAUACCUAUAUCUAUAUUUAUCUCUAUAUAUGUGUGUAUAUAUAUAUAUAUAUAUCUCAUAUAUAUCAGAGGAUGCACACACACAUCUUCUAUCAAAACUGCUUACAUUUUAGUAAGAAGUGUAGAACUCUUGGUCAAAAACCACAUUUAUUUUGUGAACUCACUCCACAAAAACAUUUCAAUUAUUAUGGAUCUCUUGAUAUGACUAAGUUUUCAUUUUCCCCUCACACUUUGCUGCAAAGAUUAUAGCUAUUGGAUAAUUAUUUGUUACAUAUUAUGAUUUGUAAAAAUGGUGGUAUAUUUUCCUAAAUGAUGUUUAGUAAAGUAGUGGUUAAGCUGUCACAAUACAGCUUGACAUUUUCAAACAACUGGUUAGACUGAAGAGCUCAGAUGAUUAGAUAUGUUCUAUAAAAAAACGUUAGGGAAAAUUUUAUUUCCCUUCUACAUUCAAUGAUAGAAACUAGUUUGGGUGAGCUAUAUAUCAGGCCUUUUCUGUUUCAAACCAUUCAUCUUCACAUUUAGAUGAUCACGGAUAUGAUCAUUGUAAGGGGUUUAUCUGAAACACUUCGUUGCCUUUCAAGUAUGUGAGACCUACUAGGCAAGAUAACUUGUAUAGGGAGCAUUGUGACAGCACACGUGAGAGACUGGAGACCCCUUUCAGAUUCCGUGUUGACAGACUGGAAACACAGAAGAACAGGGCGGAAGGUGCAACCAGACAAAAGCAGCUUGGUUUCCCAGUCGUCCUCGGAAUAACGAGGAGUGCUUGUUACCGCCUUCCUUCUUCUUUAUUGUGACUACAUUUUAAUUUCUAUUCACAUGUCCAUGCCAAGUGAAUUGCACUCCAAGUUUUAAAAUAAUGCAUAAAAUAUUUAUCGUUGCAGAAUGUUUUCCUCCACUGUACCAAAAAAAAAAAAAAGCUUAAAGUGACCAAAUAAAACUCAUCCUUCAAACUCAAGCCAUUUUGAACAGGUCAUAAAAAUGACUUAUUCUAUUAACAGUUGAAUCAAUAAAGUAGAGUCUUCUUUGGCACCAUGGGAAUUGCAUGAUAGAGUUUUCCUUUUCAUCAAUAACUCUGAAUAUAUCUGUGUUAAUAAAUGUCUCAUAUUUCUCAUCACAGUCUGUCAGGGGAGGGAGGAGAAUCUCAGCUCCCUGAUAUUAUUCACUAAGAGACUCCAUAGACAAAGACUAUGGAAUUCUUCACCAAAGGCUAAGAAGGUGACUCACUAAGGAAAGGUAAAAUUAUUUUGAAUAAAUAAAACUUAAAUUGUAUCUCUUCCUGAUCUUCAAUAAUAUCUUAUUUACCUAAUCUCAUUGGGACAUUGUUCUUGAUGAUUUUCUGGUUUUCUUUUUGCAUACUGAGUUUUCUAUUUUUUCUCUAUUUUUUAAUCUGUUCAUUUUCUUUAUCUGUCACAGGUAGAUUUUUUUCAGUUAGAUCUCAUAGAUAUUUUUCUGUAAACAAGCCAUAUAAACAAGAUAAAUCUAAACAAUGCUUAGUUUAUUAAUUUUGUGACUUUGAAAUGUCAAGUUUUUAUUUGAGGCACACACACACAGAUACACACACACACACACGUAUAUGAACUUCCAGACAAAAAUAACAACUUUUAAUAGGAAGAUACUUUUCCUUCACGUAUGCAAGAUGUAGACAAUUUCAAACUCGUGACAAACUUAUUUUCUUACAACGUUCAUAUGGUGGGCUAACUAGUGACAGAUGUUAAGUUUGAUAGAGAACAGUAAAGGACAAAAUUCUACUUGUGCUCAUCCAUAAAGCAAUUUGUUUUUAAAUGAAACUAGUUCUAGUUUGUUUUCUAUUCC